rnacentral:rRNA from 1 species
GCGGUGGAGCAUGUGGUUUAAUUCGAAGCGAACGCGAAGAACCUUACCAGGUCCUUGACAUGCGUAGGAACCGGGUGAAAGCCUGGGUGCCCCGCGAGGGGAGCCCUAGCACAGGUGCUGCAUGGCCGUCGUCAGCUCGUGCCGUGAGGUGUUGGGUUAAGUCCCGCAACGAGCGCAACCCUUGUCUCUAGUUGCCACCAUUCAGUUGGGCACUCUAGAGAGACUGCCGGUGAUAAACCGGAGGAAGGUGGGGACGACGUCAAGUCCUCAUGGCCUUUAUGCCCAGGGCUACACACGUGCUACAAUGGAUCGUACAAAGGGUCGCGAACCCGCGAGGGGGAGCCAAUCCCAAAAACCGGUCCUCAGUUCGGAUUGGAGUCUGCAACUCGACUCCAUGAAGUUGGAAUCGCUAGUAAUCGUGGAUCAGCAUGCCACGGUGAAUACGUUCCCGGGCCUU